UACGUAGGUGGCAAGCGUUGUCCGGAUUUAUUGGGUUUAAAGGGUGCGUAGGCGGCUUUGUAAGUCAGUGGUGAAAUAUGGCAGCUCAACUGUCAGGGUGCCAUUGAUACUGCGGAGCUUGAGUACAGAUGAGGUAGGCGGAAUUGACGGUGUAGCGGUGAAAUGCUUAGAUAUCGUCAAGAACACCGAUAGCGAAGGCAGCUUACUAGGCUGUAACUGACGCUGAGGUACGAAAGUGUGGGGAUCAAACAGG
rnacentral:rRNA from 1 species